UAACAAGGUUUGUGUUGGCCUGAUUCCUUCUCAAAGCAAUUGGCUGCUGGGCAGUGAAGGGUUAUGGAGGUCUCUUUAGAAAUGAAGCUACACCUGUGCCCAGAAAGAUGUGCCAGAUUGGUCUGCACCUGGACGAGCAGAAAGGUUUUGCAUCUCUAUCUGAGGCCACAGCUCUGCUCAGCCUCUGCUCUGAUGCUGUUGCCUUGCAUCACUUGCUGAAUGAAUGGAGGCACAUACUGUGCACAGCCACAUGUUACUUAAAGUCUGGCCUGACCCAUGGAGCAGGUUGCAUGGAAACCCUCUACGCUGUUCUGUGUGCUCAGAGAUGCUACCCAGGGCAUGGCUGAGCACUGUUGGGUGCUCUGCAUGAAGCAAUCACAGUUGAAAGUGCUGGAGGAGAAUCACUCUGAGCCCACUAAUACACAUCUAGGCUUCCUUUGUGCUUUCAGAGGAGUUUUGUUGCUGGAUUUGCUGCCUUCAGUCAGAGGACAGGAUUAAAUCUCAGAUCACAGCUAAGGGAAAGUGCUGCUGAGCUGCGCGGGAGUGCAAAAUCAGACCCAUUUAUACUGGGGGUGAGCUGCAUGGAUGCAAACUACUGUUCAUGUGAUGCUGAUUACCCUUUUGCUCCAGGUAAAGCUGAGAGGUGAGCACUAUAUUUUGGACAACAAAUGAGAAAGAACGCCCAGAUGAUCCCCAUGGUUAUGGCUGAAGUUUGCGCUGAGGUGGUGCUGAUGACCUGAUUGGAUGCUCCUUUAAGCUGUUAGAUGUGCCCCCGUACUAACUUGUUGCUUUUCGGAUGGGAUUUGAAUAGUUCACUUCUUUCUUAUUUCUGUUUCUAGUCUCUUGGGCUGGAAAGUGAAACUGAGACUUCUACAAGUCUGCAUUAUUUCUGCAUACAGAUGCAUUGAAAGCCCGAAAGGACUUUGUGUGGUCAGCAUUUAGGUGUGCAGAAACCCACCCUUUGCUAUGGUACAGUCCCAAAUCCACAUCCUUGUGACUGGCUCCCUGCUGCCAUUCAAAAGGCUGUAAUGACCGCAAUAGUAUUUACUAACAAUUAUUUCCAAUCGGUGCAAAGAUUGUAAUGAUAAUUAAACUUAUUUCCAGAAAUAGAAGAUUAGAAGUCUACCAUAGAGAAGGAAGAUCACAUUAUGAGUUGAUUCUGCACUUCUGAGCUUUUUUGGAAGUAAAUCAGCAUCUCUUCACCAGCGAGACCUGCAUGUCCAUGCACAGCUGUACAGAGCUGCUACCUGGAGAUGAAUGAGGGAGAGGAAGACAACGAAGAAGCAUUACUUACAUGCCAGGUUACUUCUGCAGACCAUUCUGCACUUCUUGCUUUCUCUUUGCUUCACCACUCCUGGCUUUGUGGUUGACCCCAGGACCUCCUUGUGUGUGUCUGUGUGUCUGUCCUGUCUCCUUCCAGGACACCAGGCUCGGGCAGUGCCAGCCUGUUUUAAAUACUCAUACUACUAGCCCUGCAAUUCCACCUGUUGUGACUUAAGGGAACAGCAUCCAAGCCCAAGUGAGCCCUGAGCCACGUGAGAGCAGAGCAGCCAAUGUCUCUCCUGGUUCUGCUGGCACUUGGCACAGCCUCCAAGUUGCACCCUGUUGUUGUGCAACCAAGGGGGGGCUCUGGCUCAGGAUGCUGCCCAUGUACCUCUGCUGGCUUUGGGAAGGGAUUCAGCUUGAUGCCAACUGAAGGGUCUGCUUUGUGCGGACUGUGCUGGGGUCCUGUCCCUCCUUCUUCAGCAUUGCACCCUGAGUCACGGCCACAUUUAGCAUUAAGAAGGAGAGCUUCCUUCUGCAGGGCUCACCUAUUUACCCAAAAUGUGACAUCCCAAACCAAUAGAGGAAGUGUUUGAUGGGGCAAAUCUGGGUGAAAACAUCUUUGUCACUGGUUUUCUGCUGGUUAGCCUUGCUGAUCUGCUCCCCUGCUGUGGCACGAGGGGUCCCAAGCAAGAGUUCCUUGUGAAGAGUGGGAUUGUUGGAAAUGGAACUGAAUGAAAGCACAAAAUCAGAGACAACUGAAUUGUUUGUGUGGGAUGAGUCAUUAACCUGCUUUCCUUUAUUCUAAUAAGGUAAUAAUUAUUGUUUAAUUCAGGGCCACAUGAAGACUUCCUCACCUGCUCAUAGGGAAAGUUGAGGAGCUAGAGAAGGACAGCAGCUCUGGGGUUUGCACUUGGCCACAAUAAACACAGAGUUGCUAGUGAUUUGCACAUCUCACUUCACAUCUGCUGAUGGAAAAAAACCUGACAUCAUGUCCAAAGCCAUCACCUACCCUUCUCGAUGCUCAGUUUCAUGGAGGUCGUGUGCUCCUCAUGCCCGUUCCUGGCCACACACCAGUACCACCCUGCAUCCUCCUCUUGCAGUUGGCUCAUCACUACGGUGUAGUUCCCACUGUCCUGCUCGCUGCUGCUGAUCCAUGUGCGUCCUUUGUAAGACUCGUGCACAAACCCAUCUGUGUCCACCAGCAGGGAACAGCUGGCUUCCCUCCACCUGCACAGUGCAAAACACAAUAGCAAUGGCUGCAGUUCCUGGGAAUCCAAGCAGCAUGUCUUACGCCCCUCCUGGUAAGGUGCAAUUAUCUUUCUAGCCUUAUUUUACUUAGCUGUAACUUCACUUCUUGCAGAAAACCUUUGGGCUGAGCGCUGUUAUCCAUUUCCAGAUUUCAGCAGAAGUGAUGUUUGAGUGUUUAGGAGGGGAAUUACUUCCUUGUGCGAGUUAAAAAUUGACUUUUAAUUACUGGAAUUUCAUCCUAUGGAGUCCCAACUAAAAUUCUUUGAGAUUUACUUGACCCACACCGCGAUUCAAGCCUGAAGUUGGCACAAACCAAUUGAUUUAUUUCAUCCUUGCUAACUCACUGAGCUAACUUCAAAGCAUUUUGGAGACAGGAAUAAGGAAAUGGCUGCUCUUUUAAUGCCUUAUUCCCAGCCGUGGGGCUGAGCCCUGGCAGCAGCAUACGCAAUAAAUGCCUCUGGAUGUGGGUUUGGUCCAUGCAGCAGCUCACUCUAAGGGCCUUGCAUGCCUUGCACACUUUGCAUACCUUGCAUUGGGAUUAUGUGCAUCUCUCCUGUAGCACCCCAGCUGUGGGGCUUACAAACCCAGCUCAGAGCCAGCUCUCAACCCCAGUUGCCUUUCUGCUGAUGGGAAGUGUGGCUGGGACAGCAGAAAUGUGCUCUUCCCUUUUCGGUGCAGGCAGAAGCGCUGUGGUGGUGCAGCUGGCCCUGCAUCCUCUUUGGGCAGUUCCCCUUGUUUUUCUUCUCCCCCCAUGUAUCAGGCAGUGGGUGCAGUUCUGGCAUCCCAAAAUUAAUGAAGAAGUCACCAGUUUUGCCAUCAUUGAGCUGGCCCUGCUGCUGAUUACUCAAGUUAGCAUUCCAACAAGGCUUUCUUCCUAUAUCAUACAUUAUGUGCUGGCACUAAGUUGCUAAGUUCUUCCUGGCAUUAGUCCAUUAGUGUCUGGAUGUGAAGUGUCUGCAGGCUGCUGUAGCUCCGUGCCUCCAUAGGGGUGGGUGCAAUGCUUGCACAAUCACCCAGCUGCAACCUUUUGGGAUCCCGUACAACAGCUUCAAAGCCCCACACGUUCACAUUUCCCACCCUGAAGCAACAAGCAGGGUGUCAGCACAGGGCUGGCGAAUGCCUGGGCUGUGCCUUCCAGGACCGCCAUGAAAAGGCUAAUUAAGAAGUAGAUCUCACUUCUUCCAAGUCCAAUUACCUUGAGCAACUCCAGCUGAGUGCCAGCCAUGCGCAUCCCGCUUGCAUCUCUCCAUGUACACAAGAACCUGUCUCAUCUACCUCAUGUUUUUCCUUCAAAUGCAAUAAUCCCAUUGAUGGCUUUGAGGAGAGGAAAGAAAGGAUGAUGAUAGCUCUAAAAGCAAUGGCAGGUUUAAGCAGAAAUGGGUUAUGCCAAUCUUCCUGCACUAAGAUAAGAACCCCACAUUGCACAUCUAUUGCAUAUUGCCAUCCAUCCUUUGCAAAGUGAAGUUCAUCAGAGCAGUACAUGCUGCUGCUGUAUGAUAGCACUGCACCCUCUUUGAUACUAACUACAGGGCAAAGUGAGGAUCACCCACCUUAAGAUAGGAUGCUUCUGCUCCUGGUCUGCAGCUCUGCAGGUCUCUGCUCAGCUCUUGAUGUUUAAUUAUUUAAUGUAAGUCAAUAACAGUUCUGCUGUCUUGAGGUUCAGCAAGUUGGAGACAGGCAGAGUGAUGACAGAAGUAGGAGAAAUGACAGUGAUGUACUGAAUGUGGAACCUGAAGAGUGCUCCUUUUUAGCCAUUUAAUGAUGUGGGCGACAUGGAAAGGAAACCAAUGAAGAAGCCAGGAGCAGAAACAGCACAGUUUGAGAGGAAUUCCCCAGUGCUAAAGACAACACAUAAAGAUGUAACACUAAGGAAUGGCUUUUAAUUGCUAGCAUUGAAAUGCUCCUUGCUGGGAAGGUGGAACUUAACAUCAAGACAGGAUGUUGUGUGUGUUUCAACUCACUUCUGCAGCCUGAGCCACCCUAAUGCUCAUCCUCUGGCUCCAUGCUCUCAAAGAUUCCAAGGCAAAAGUCUGUUUUCUGCCUCAACAUUCAUUCAGGUUUCUCACUGCAGCAAGCCCAGCUCUACAGUGUUAAAGGCUGCACUGCUGCGCUGUGAUUUCCAGGUAGUUAUAAUUACUUUAAUAGAGGGAAAUUAUAUUGGAUCAUUGCAACAUGGCCUGAUUAAACCAAAUUGACAAUCAGCUACAGAGAUCAAAGUUGAGAAAUCAAAGCAGCGUGUCUUUAAGGCACGUGGACUUCACUUGAGAGCAUCUCUGUGCCCUCUUGUCAUUUCAUAGUGAUUAAUUUCUCUCUGUAUUUAAUUGCUGCAUUUUAACUGCUGUGCAUUUGAAGCUGGUUGGGUUGCCUCGUCUCUGGAAAGGCAGAAGUGUGCAUAGCAACAGUUGUGAUGUUGUGAUGGGACUUUGCUCUGUUUUUCCUUCAAAUAAAGAUGAUGGAUUGAAGCAGUCAAUGCACAGCAGGGCUGGAAACGCCUCGGGUUGGUCCUGCCCUCCCCAUCCCCCAUAGACAUUGUAGGACAUCAGGCUCCAUGUGAGAGCAGCAGGUGGUUUGGAGCUCAUAGCAAAGCCAAUAGAUGGGACUUACUGUCAAGCUUUGCUCUUUGCAGUGUGCCAGGGUGCAAAGGUUGGGCUCUCCAACUUGUGGGGCACAGGAAUGCUUGGAAGCCUCAUGUCCUGCUUUUUGAUCACUUUAGAUUCUCCCUGGAUGAAGCUGUAUCUGUUUCCAGCCGUUUUGCUUUCUUUAUCAUUAUCUGAUGACUUGAAUUGCAGUCAUUUUGUUGCCUUGUCCCAAACUUGUGCAAUAACCAGCUCCCAACACUGAUUCAGCUUCAGUUCUAUCAGUCUCCCUAAGGACCUCUAUUUGUUUGGGUUUGAUAUUGAUGUUGAUAGCAAAACAAUCGGAUUGCAAUAAAAUGUGGCUCAUAAAACUGAAGGUGGGAAACAAUUCCGUGCUGCAGGUGAGAACCAGAACUCCUUGGCAUGCAGGAAGUCACAACCCGAGCUCAGGGGGGCCUGGAUGGCAGCUGAGAUCUCUAACACAGCUAAUGGAGCAGCAAUGAGCCCACAGGACCCCAUGAGCUGUCACUGGGGUAAGAAUUGAUGCCUAAGGGUGAGCAGAGAACUCAGCUCAGGAGAUGCCCCAAAGGGUCUGAGCUGUGUUGGUGCCUCAGUCCAGGAAGCACUCAGCAUGCUCAAAGGUUGCUCUCAUAACUGUUUUAUUGCUGUCGAUAAGACAAAGCCUCCCUACUUCCACGCCGACGUUAAUAAUUCAUUUUAACUGUGGCACUGGGUUAAUUCCCCCCGCAUCUCGCUUUCUCUGGCUGUUUCCUAACCGUUCCUUCGCUAUCUGCUUGACCUCAAUGUGAGGACAACAUCACAGUGCUAUGGGAGCUGUGCUCCUGCCCUUCGGGAUGGAUGCGGGAGGAGUGGACCAGGUUUGAUCAUCAUCACUGUGUGUCAUGUACUGCCACCGCGUGUCGCUGCCGCGGAGCUGCCACCGCAG